rnacentral:rRNA from 1 species
CAGCCGCCGCGGGAAUACGAAGGGUGCAAGCGUUACUCGGAAUUACUGGGCGUAAAGCGUGCGUAGGUGGUUGUUUAAGUCUGCUGUGAAAGCCCUGGGCUCAACCUGGGAAUUGCAGUGGAUACUGGGCAACUAGAGUAAGGUAGAGGAUAGUGGAAUUUCCGGUGUAGCAGUGAAAUGCGUAGAGAUCGGAAGGAACAUCUGUGGCGAAGGCGACUAUCUGGGCCAUUACUGACACUGAGGCACGAAAGCGUGGGGAGCAAACAGGAUUAGAUACCCGAGUAGUCCCUGUCUCUUAUAC